rnacentral:rRNA from 1 species
UGGGGGAAUAUUGGGCAAUGGGCGCAAGCCUGACCCAGCAACGCCGCGUGAGGGAAGAAGGUUUUCGGAUUGUAAACCUCUGUCCUUGGUGACGAAGGAAGUGACGGUGGCCAAGGAGGAAGCCACGGCUAACUACGUGCCAGCAGCCGCGGUAAUACGUAGGUGGCAAGCGUUAUCCGGAUUUACUGGGUGUAAAGGGCGCGUAGGCGGGGAUGCAAGUCAGAUGUGAAAUCUAUGGGCUUAACCCAUAAACUGCAUUUGAAACUGUAUCUCUUGAGUGUCGGAGAGGUAGACGGAAUUCCUAGUGUAGCGGUGAAAUGCGUAGAUAUUAGGAGGAACACCAGUGGCGAAGGCGGUCUACUGGACGAUAACUGACGCUGAGGCGCGAAAGCGUGGGGAGCAAACAGGAUUAGAUACCCUGGUAGU